GGGGAAUAUUGCACAAUGGGGGAAACCCUGAUGCAGCGACGCCGCGUGGAGGAAGAAGGUCUUCGGAUUGUAAACUCCUGUUGUUGAGGAAGAUAAUGACGGUACUCAACAAGGAAGUGACGGCUAACUACGUGCCAGCAGCCGCGGUAAAACGUAGGUCACAAGCGUUGUCCGGAAUUACUGGGUGUAAAGGGAGCGCAGGCGGGAAGACAAGUUGGAAGUGAAAUCUAUGGGCUCAACCCAUAAACUGCUUUCAAAACUGUUUUUCUUGAGUAGUGCAGAGGUAGGUGGAAUUCCCGGUGUAGCGGUGGAAUGCGUAGAUAUCGGGAGGAACACCAGUGGCGAAGGCGGCCUACUGGGCACCAACUGACGCUGAGGCUCGAAAGUGUGGGUAGCAAACAGGAUUAGAUACCCUGGUAGUCCACACCGUAAACGAUGAUUACUAGGUGUUGGAGGAUUGACCCCUUCAGUGCCGCAGUUAACACAAUAAGUAAUCCACCUGGGGAGUACGACCGCAAGGUUGAAACUCAAAGGAAUUGACGGGGGCCCGCACAAGCAGUGGAGUAUGUGGUUUAAUUCGACGCAACGCGAAGAACCUUACCAAGUCUUGACAUCCCUUGACAGACAUAGAAAUAUGUUUUCUCUUCGGAGCAAGGAGACAGGUGGUGCAUGGUUGUCGUCAGCUCGUGUCGUGAGAUGUUGGGUUAAGUCCCGCAACGAGCGCAACCCUUAUGGUCAGUUACUACGCAAGAGGACUCUGGCCAGACUGCCGUUGACAAAACGGAGGAAGGUGGGGAUGACGUCAAAUCAUCAUGCCCUUUAUGACUUGGGCUACACACGUACUACAAUGGCGUUAAACAAAGAGAAGCAAGACCGCGAGGUGGAGCAAAACUCAGAAACAACGUCCCAGUUCGGACUGCAGGCUGCAACUCGCCUGCACGAAGUCGGAAUUGCUAGUAAUCGUGGAUCAGCAUGCCACGGUGAAUACGUUCCCG
rnacentral:rRNA from 1 species